GAGCGGCGGACGGGUGAGUAAUACUUAGGAAUCUACCUAGUAGUGGGGGAUAGCUCGGGGAAACUCGAAUUAAUACCGCAUACGACCUACGGGAGAAAGGGGGCAACUUGUUGCUCUCGCUAUUAGAUGAGCCUAAGUCGGAUUAGCUAGAUGGUGGGGUAAAGGCCUACCAUGGCGACGAUCUGUAGCUGGUCUGAGAGGAUGAUCAGCCACACCGGGACUGAGACACGGCCCGGACUCCUACGGGAGGCAGCAGUGGGGAAUAUUGGACAAUGGGGGAAACCCUGAUCCAGCCAUGCCGCGUGUGUGAAGAAGGCCUUUUGGUUGUAAAGCACUUUAAGCAGUGAAGAAGACUCCAUGGUUAAUACCCAUGGACGAUGACAUUAGCUGCAGAAUAAGCACCGGCUAACUCUGUGCCAGCAGCCGCGGUAAUACAGAAGGUGCAAGCGUUUAAUCGGAAUUACUGGGCGUAAAGGGAGCGUAGGUGGCUUGAUAAGUCAGAUGUGAAAUCCCCGGGCUUAACCUGGGAACUGCAUCUUGAUACUGGUAAGCUAGAGUAGGUGGAGAGGGAGGUAAGAAUUUCAGGUGUAGCGGGGAAA
rnacentral:rRNA from 1 species